rnacentral:rRNA from 1 species
AUGGGCGUUAACACCUGCAGCUUGUGCACAAUGAUGACUCCACGCAUCUCCUGCGCCCCGCAACCCUCUCCUUCCCGGCACAGGAGGAGCAAGAGCAAGGAUGCCGAGGUGGUUCAGUCGCAAGGAAGAGUAGAAAGAUCAGGCAGAGAGGGUUUCACAUACCCCUUCUACACUGACAAGUCUUUGCUUUUCAGGAUUGCCAUGGGAGCUUUGGAUGGCGGUCUUGAUAUUGCGCACAUUGACAAGAGAUUGCUGGCUUCGAGAAGGAUAAGAAGCAGCUGGGCGGUGAGAUUCACCGCAAAUACAUCUAUGAAGUCAAUAGCUGAUGAGGAAUCUAAGAAGUACCAAUCUCACUUCAGUGAGUACAUCAAGAAGAAUAUUGCGGCCGAUGACAUGGAAGCACUGUACAAGAAGGUUCAUGCUACCAUUCGUGCUUAUCCUACCAUGGCAAAAUCAACGAAGGAACCUCCAAAGACGCACAAGAGUUAG